rnacentral:tRNA from 1 species
GGGGUUGUGGCUCAGUGGUAGAGUACUGCUUGCCUAGCAUGGUGACUCCCUGGGUUCGAUCCUCAGCACCACA